GCGGUCCUGCGCUCGCGCCCGCCCCACCAGGAGCGGUCUGGGAUUGGGGGAGCACAUUCCUCAAAUAGAAGAACACCUAUUUAGGGCCAGCCACAGUGCUUGGGGACACAUGGAAAUAGGAAAAAGCUUCCACUUAGAGGAUCUCCCAGUCAUUCCGGUGGAUGAGCAGAUAUGAAAACAGGUAAUUAGGGGAGCCCACAUAAGGCACAUUCCAACGUCAAAAAACGUGUAGGGGUGGCGCCUGCCUGUGGUCCCAGGAUGAACCUGUUUUGGAUUAGGACACACCCCAGAGGACAACUUCGCUAUUUCUGUGUCCACCUCACCUAAACCUGGCAAAGCAGGCACACGGGGAGGAGUCCAGACAGGUGACAGGAAACUAUUUUCUGAUUUAAGGAACACGGAAAAAGGAACAAGGGAAAAAGUGAGAAAAACUUGGGAGGCUGAGGCAGGAGGCUGAGGCGGGAGGCUGCAAUGAGCCAUGAUCGCACCACUUCACUCCAGCCCGGUGUCUUAAAAAAAAAAAAAGCCUUGUUGUGAUAUGGGGCAGGGUGUGGGGCACGAGGAGAUUUCGGCCAGAGGACAACUAAGAGAUUUGUUACCCUGGAAUUCUGGUGGCCGUUAUUCGCAAUGGAGAACAAUGCACGUUCAUUUUCUUUUUUUCUUCAACUUUUAAGUUCAGGAGUACAUGUGCAGAACGUGCAGGUUUGUUAUAUCGAUAUACAUGUGCCAUGGUGGUUUGCUGCACCUACCAACCCAUCGUCUAGGUUUUAAGCCCUGCAUGCAUUAGGUAUUUGUCCUAAUGCUCUCCCUCCCCUUGCCCCCCACCCCCCCAACAGAUCCCAGUGUGUGUUGUUCCCCUCCCUGUGCCCAUGUGUUCUCAAUAUUCAACUCCCACUUAUGAGCGAGAACAUACAGUGCUUGGUUUUCUGUUCCUGUGUUAGUUUGCUGAGGAUGAUGACUUCCAGCUUCAUCCAUGUCCCUGCAAAGGAUAUGAUCUCAUUCUUUUUUAUGGUUGCAUAGUAUUCCAUGGUGUAUAUGUUACCACAUUUUCUUUAUCCGGUCUAUCAUCGAUAGGCAUUUGGAUUGGUUCCAUGUCUUUGCUAUUGUAAAUAAUGCUGCAGUAAACAUACGUGUGCAUGUGUCUUUAUAGCAGAAUGACUUAUAUUCCUUUGGGUAUAUACCCAGUAAUGGGAUUGUGAGUCAAAUGGUAUUUCUGGUUCUAGAUCCUUGAGGAGUUGCCACACUGUCUUCCACAAUGGCUGAACUAAUUUACAUUCCCACCAACAGUGUUGUGUGAUCUUAUUUCUGAGUUCUUUAUUCUGGCCCAUUGGUCUAUGUGUCUGUUCUUGUACCAGUACCAUGCUGUUUUGGUUACUGUAGCCUUGUAGUACAGUUUGAAGUCAGCUAAUGUGAUGCCUCCAGCUUUUUUUUUUUUUUUUUUUUUUUUUUUGCUUAGGAUUGUCUUGGCUAUUUGGGCUCUUUUGGUUCUGUAUGAAUGUUAAAUAGUUUUUCUAAUUCUGUGAAGAAUGUCAAUGGUAGUUUAAUGGGAGUAGGGCAGUAUGGCCUUUUUCACAAUAUUGAUUCUUCCUAUCCAUGAGCAUGGAAUGUUUCUCCAUUUGUUUGUGUCCUCUCUGAUUUCUUUGAGCAUUGGUUUGCAGUUCUCCUUGAAGAGGUCCUUCACUUCCCUUGUUAGCUGUAUUCCUAGGUAUUUUAUUCUUUUUGUAGCAAUUGUGAAUGGGAGUUCAUUUAUGAUUUGGCUCUCAGCUUGCCUGUUAUGGGUGUAUAGGAAUGCUAUCAAUUUUUGCACAUUGAUUUUGUAUCCUGAGACUUUGCUGAAGUUGCUUAUCAGCUUAAGAAACUUUGGGGCUGAGACAAUGGGGUUUUCUAGAUAUAGGAUCAUAUCAUCUGCAAACAAAGAUAAUUUGAUUUCCUCUCUUCCUAUUUGAAUACUCCUUAUUUCUUUCUCUUGCCUAACUGACCUGGCCAGAACUUCCAAAACUAUGUUGAAUAGGAGUGGUGAGAGAGGGCAGCUUGUCUUGUGCUGCUUUUCAAGGGAAUGCUUCCAGCUUUUGCCCAUUCGGUAGGGUAUUGGCCAUGGGUUUGUCAUAUAUGGCUCUUAUUAUUUUGAGGUGUUUCUUCAAUACCUAGUUUAUUGAGAGUUUUUAACAUGAAGGAAUGUUGAAUUUUAUCAAAGGUCUUUCUGCGUGUAGUUUUCGUCUUUAGUUCUGUUUAUGUGUUGAAUCACAUUUAUUGUUUUUUGUAUGUUGGACCAACCUUGCAUCCCAGGGAUGAAGCCUACUUGAUCGUUGUGGAUAAGCUAUUUGAAGUGCUGCUGAAUUCAGUUUGCUAGUUUUUUUUGUUUUGUUUUGUUUUGUUUUGUUUUGUUUUGUUUUGGAGAAAGAGUCUUGCUCUGUCACCGAGGCUGGAGUGCAGUGAUGCAAUCUCAGCUCACUGCAGCCUCCACCUCCCAGGUUCAAGCGAUUCUCCUGCUUCAUCCUCCUGAGUAGCUGGGAUGACAGACGUGCACCACCAUGUAUGACUAAUUUUUUGCAUUUUUAGUGGAGAUGGGGUUUUGCCAUGUUGGCCAGGCUGGUCUGGAACUCCUGACCUCAAGUGACCUGCCUGUCUUGGCAUCCCAAAGUGCUGGGAUUACAGGCAUGAGCCACCAUGCCCAGCCCAGUUUGCCAGUAUUUUAUUGAGGAUUUUUGCAUCGAUGUUCAUCAAUGUUUCCUUUUUUGUUGUGUCUCUGCCAGGUUUUGGUAUCAGGAUGAUGCUGGCCUCAUAGAAUGAGUUAGGGAGGAGUCCCUCCUUUUCAAUUUUUUGGAAUUGUUUCAGUAGAAAUGGUACCAGCUCUUCUUUGUUCCUCUGGGAGAAUUCAGCUGUGAAUCCAUCUGGUCCUGGGCUUUUUUGGGUUCGUAGGCUAUUUAUUACUGCCUUAAUUUCACAACUUGUUAUUGGUCUAUUCAGGGAUUCAAUUUCUUCCUGGUUCAGUCAUGGGAGGGUGUAUGUGUCCAGGAAUUUAUCCAUUUCAUCUAGACCUCCUAGUUUAUGUGCAUAGAGGUGUUUAUAGUAUUCUCUGAUGGUUGUUUGUAUUUCUGUGGGGUCAGUGAUAUCCCCCUUAUCUUUUCUGAUUGUGUUUAUUUGAUUCUUCUCUCUUUUCUUCUUUAUUAAUCUAGCUAGUGGUGUUAUUAAUUUUUUCAAAAACCAGCUCCUGGAUUUAUUGAUUUUUUUUUUAGAAGGUUUUUUAUGUCUCUAUCUCCUUCAGUUCAGCUCUGAUCUUGGUUAUUUCUUGUCUUCUGCUAGCUUUGGGGUUUCUUUGCUCUUGGUUCUCUAGUUCUUUUAGUUGAGAUGUUAGGUUGUUAACUUGAGAUCUUUCUAGCUUUUUGAUGUGGGCAUUUAGCACUAAACAUUUCCCUCUUAACACUCUUUUAGCUGCAUCCCAGAGAUUCUGGUACAUCAUCUCUUUGUUCUCAUUAGUUUCAAAAAAUUUAUUGAUUUCUGCCUAAUUUUAUUAUUUACCCAAGAGUCAUUCAGGAGCAGGUGUUCAAUUUCCAUGUAGUUGUGUGGUUUGAAGUGAAUUUCUUAAUUUUGAGUGCUAAUUUGAUUGCGUUAUGGUGUGAGAGACUGUUAUGACUUCAGUUCUCUUGCAUUUGCUGAGAAGUGUUUUACUUCCAAUUGUGUGAUCAAUUUUAGAGUAACUGCCAUGUGGCACUGAGAAGAAUGUAUAUUCUAUUGUUUUUGGGUGGAGAGUUUUGUAGAUAUCUAUCAGGUCCUUUAGAUCCAGAGCUGAGUUCAGGUCCUGAAUACCUUUGUUAAUUUUCUCUCUCAAUGAUCUGUCUAAUAUUGUCAGUGGGGUGUUAAAGUCUCCCAUUACUAUCGCAUGGAGUUUAAGUCUCUUUGUACGUCUCUAAGAACUUGCUUUAUGAAUCUGAGUGCUCCUGUAUUGGGUGCAUAUAUAUUUAGGAUAGUCAGCUCUUCUAGUUGCAUUGAACCCUUUACCAUUAUGUAAUGCUCUUCUUUGUCUUUUUUGACAUUUACUGGUUUAAAGUCUGUUUAGUCAGAAACUAGGAUUGCGACCCUUGCCUUUUUCUGUUUUCUAUUUGCUUGGUAAAUUUUCCUCCAUCCCUUUAUUUUGAGCCUAUGUAUGUCUUUGCACAUGAGAUGGAUCUCUUGAAGAAAGCAUACCAAUGGAUCUUGCUCUUUAUACAGCUUGCCAUUCUGUGUCUUUUAAUUGGGGCCAUUUAGCCCAUUUACAUUUAAGAUUAGUAUUGUUACAUGUGAAUUUGAUCCUGUCAUCACGAUGCUAGCUGGUUAUUUUGCAGCCUUGUUUAUCUGGUUGCUUUAUAGUGUCACUGGUCUGUGUAUUUCAGUGUGUUUUUGUAGUGGCUCGUAAUGGUUUUUGCUUUCCAUAUUUAGGGCUUCCUUUAGGAGCUCUUGGAAGGUAGGCCUGGUGGUGACAAAUUCCCUCAGCAUUUGCUUGUCUAAAAAGGAUCUUAUUUCUCCUUCACUUAUGAGGCUUACUUUGGUUGGAUAUGAAAUUCUGGGUUGGAAAUUCUUUUCUUUAAGAAUAUUGAAUAUUGGCCCCCAAUCUCUUCUGGCUUGUAGGGUUUCUGCUGAGAGGUCAGCUGUUAGUCUGUUAGUCUGGUCACCUUUGUAAGUGAUCUGGCUUUCUUUUUUUUUUUGAGAUGGAGUCUGGCUCUGUUGCCCAGGCUAGAAUACAGUGGUGCAAUCUCGGCUCACUGCAAGCUCCAUCUCCUGGGUUCACACCAUUCUCCUGCCUCAGCCUCCCAAGUAGCUGGGACUACAGGUGCCCGCCACCACACCCAGCUAAUUUUUUGUAUUUUUAGUAGAGACAGGGUUUCACCAUGUUAGCCAGGAUGGUCUCGAUCUCCUGACCUCGUGAUCCACCCGCCUUGGCCUCCCAAAGUGCUGGGAUUACAGGCUUGAGCCACCGCGCCCAGCCAUGAUCUGGCCUUUCUCCUGGCUGCUCUUAACAUUUUUUCUUUAAUUUCAACCUUGGAGAAUCUGAUGAUUAUGUAUCUUGGGGUUGAUGGUCUCAUGGAGUAUUUUACUGGGGCUCUCUGCAUUUACUGAAUUUGAAUGUUGGCCUGUCUUGCCAGGUUGGAGAAGUUCUCCUGGUUGAUAUCCUGAAGUUGGUUUUCUAACUUGGUUCCAUUCUCCCCAUCUCUUUCAGGUACCCCAAUCAUUUAUACGUUUGGUCUCUUUACAUAAUCCUAUAUUUCUCAGAGGUUUUGUUCAUUCCUUUUCAUGCUAUUCUGCUAUUGAUACUUGUGGUUGCAUUGUGAAGUUCUUAUGUUGUGUUUUUCAGCUUCAUAAGAUCAGUUAUGAUCCUCUCUAAACUGGCUAUUCUGGCUAUCAGCUUCUGUAUUGUUUUAUCACGAUCUUAGUUUCUUUGCAUUGGUUACAACAUGCUCCUUUAGCUCAGCAAAGUUCAUUAUUACCCUCCUUCUGAAGCCUACUUUUGUCAAUUCAGUUAUCUCAGCCUCAGCCCAGUUCUGUGCCCUUGCUGGAGGGUGUUGUAGUCAUUUGGAGGAGAGGCAUUCUGGCUUUUUGAGUUUUCAGUGUUUUUGCAUUGAUUCUUUCUCAUCUUUGUGGGCUUAUCUGCCUUCGAUCUUUGAGGUUGCUGGCCUUUGAAUGGGGUUUUUGUGGAGUCUUUUUUGUUGAUGUUGUUGUUGUUUUCUGUUUGUUUGUUUGUUUUACUUUUAAUAACCAGGCCACUCUACCAAAGGGCUGCUGUGGUUUACUGGGGGUCUGCUCGAGACCCUAGUUGCCUCAGUUUUUCCCAUACCUGGAAGUAUCACCAGUGAAGGAUACAAAACAGCAAAGAUGGCAACCAGCUCCUUCCUCUGGAAGCUCCAUCCCAGGGGAGUACUGACCUGUUGCCUGCCCCAACAUACCUGUAAGAGGUGGCUGGAGACCCCUGUUGAGAGGUCUCACCCAGUCAAGAGGAACGGGAUCAGGGACCCGCUUAAAGAAGCAGUCUGGGCCGGGCACGGUGGCUCACGCCUGUAAUCCCAGCACUUCGGGAGGCUGAGGUGGGCGGAUCACGAGGUCAGGAGAUCGAGACCAUCCUGGCCAAUAUGGUGAAACCCUGUCUCUACUAAAAAUACAAAAAUUAGCCCGGCAUGGUGGUGCAUGCCUGUAAUCCCAGCUACUCAGGAGGCUGAGGCAGGAGAAUCGCUUGAACCCAGAAGGUGGAGGUUGCAGUGAGCUGAAAUUGCGCCACUGCACUCCAGCCUGGUGACAGAGCUAGACUCCAUUUAAAAAAAAAAAAAAAAAAGAAGCAGUCUGGCUGCUUUUUGGUAGAGUAAGUGUACUGCAUUGGGGGGACCCUUCCUCAUCCAGAUCAUUUGUAGUCUUUUGGCCAGCAGGCUGGAACGGCUGAGUCAACCAAACCACAGAGAUGGCAGCUGCCCCUCCCCAUGGGAGCUCCAUCCCAAAGAGGGAUGAGAGUUCUAUUUUAGAACCCUGGCUGGAGUGUCUGAAGCCCCUGGAGGGAGAUCCCGCCCAAUGAGGAGGAAUGGAUCAGAGUCCUGAUUAAAGAAGCAGUCAGACCACAAUCUAGCAAGGCCGCUGUGCUGCGUUGUGGAGGACCCUUCCUCGUUCGGACUAUUUGUAUUCUUCAAAGCCAUUAGGCUGGAACAGCUGAGUCUGCUACUGAACUGCAGAGAUGGCGGCCGCCCCUCCCUCUCUGGAACCCAGACCCAUCUCAGGCAGAUUCCAGCCUGUUGCCAUUGGCUGGCUGGAAUUCCAAGCCAGUGGGUCUUAACUUGUGGGGUACGAUGGAAGUGGGACCCACAGAAUGAUGCUGAUUGGCUUCCUGCAUUCAGCCCCCUUCCCAAGGAGAUGUAGGGAGGGAUUUCCCACCUUGCCAGGGAUCCCGGGGCUGGAGUAUGUAAAACUCCCUAGUCUCUGUGUGUGCCUCAGCUGCUGCUCUGCCAAGAUUCCACACAGCUCUCUGCUUUGGACCCAAGGCCCAGGUGGCAUGGGCUCAGGAGGGGAACUCCUGAUCCAUGGGGUUGCAAAGAUCUGUGAGAGAAGCGUGGUUUCCCAGGCAGGGUCGCACAAUCACUCACUACUUCCCUUGGCUGGGGAUGGGGGUUCCCUUGGCUCCCUGUAGCUCCCAGAUGGGGUGUCGUCCCCUGCCCCCUGCUUUUCUUCAUUCUCCGUGGGUAGAGUUAUUUGCCUAGUUAGUCCCAAUGCAAGAACCUGGAUAUUUAAGUUGAAGGUGCUGAAUUCACUCGCGCCUUUACAUUCCCUUCAGUGAGUGCUGUGGACUGCAGCUCCUUCUAAUCGGCCAUCUUGCAACAGCUUUCAAAUCUUUCAGUCUUAUAUCCACAUGUCAUUUUCUUUUCCUUUUUUUUUUGUACAGAAGACUAGAUAAUAUGCAUGACAUGGUUAAAAUUUUCAAUUGUGUCAAAAAUAUAUGCAGUGAAAAGACAGUUUUCAUCCUCCACUGCCUCCUGCCCCCAGCUUUCUUUCCUCUUAGACUACCACUGUUGACCAGUUUCUUGCAUAUCCUUUCAAAGACAUUCCAUGGGUUAAGAAAAAUUAUAAAUGUAUAUAUGUAUGUAUUGACUAUAUUGUAAGGUACGGACUUAAAACAUUCCAUAUAUGUUACCAAAUUAAUAUCCAUAUAUAGUUCAUGUCAGUUGUGGCUCCCAUAACAAUUUGUCAGGACCACUGUUUCAACACGUCUCUAUACAGUACAUUAUCAAAUUUAAUUUUUAAUUUUCUAUUCAGUUGUUGGUCUUUUUAAAAAUUGUAGUGCAUAGAUAUGUAUACAUGCAUAUAUAUAUAUAUAAAAUAAUGAAAGUAGUCCAAUAUGAAUAAAUUACUUAUCUUUUAC
rnacentral:lncRNA from 1 species